rnacentral:rRNA from 1 species
GACGAACGCUGGCGGCGUGCCUAACACAUGCAAGUCGAGCGAGCAGAUUUCCUUCGGGAAUGAAGCUAGCGGCGGACGGGUGAGUAACACGUGGGCAACCUGCCUCAUAGAGGGGAAUAGCCUCCCGAAAGGGAGAUUAAUACCGCAUAAGAUUGUAGCUUCGCAUGAAGUAGCAAUUAAAGGAGCAAUCCGCUAUGAGAUGGGCCCGCGGCGCAUUAGCUAGUUGGUGAGGUAACGGCUCACCAAGGCGACGAUGCGUAGCCGACCUGAGAGGGUGAUCGGCCACAUUGGGACUGAGACACGGCCCAGACUCCUACGGGUGGCUG